UGGUCCGUAGCUCAGUUGGAAGAGCAGCCGUCUCCAAAGCGGCGUGCCGCAGGUUCGAGUCCUGCCGGACCAG
rnacentral:tRNA from 1 species